rnacentral:misc_RNA from 1 species
GUGCCCAUCCACGGCACACAGACUCUGGGGCACUCCACAGUUUUAGACCGCCUCCCCACCUGUGUGUGUGUGUGUGUGUGUUUGUGUUUUCUUCUCCAGUGCUCAAGAUGAGCAUCAACGAGCAUCGUGAAGCUGAGGAGCCACGCGGUUUGCGGGCAGCGCUGACGUCGCAGCAGCAGCACCUCCUCCUGGAGGGUGCGCAGCAGUGUUGCUCCGCAUCUCCUCAGCCGCUUUCCCGUCACCUUUCACUGGCUGCCUCCGCUGCAGAGACGACCGUGCCCGACAUCGAUGUUGCCGGGGAGGACAGCGCGUGCUUUACUUACUCUGAUGACUGCGACACCCCGCGCUAUAUACCCUGCAAGGCACGCUACGGUGUUGGGUCCACUGCUGUGCUUGUUGAGCUGCUGCACGACAUGGAUGAUUAGACAGGAGUAGAUGCUCUGAGGGCAUGCACACACAUUCACAUUCACACAUCACUGCACAUAGACGCGGCGAAACGGCGAAGUGGGGACGACGUGGCUCGAGCACCUCCAUGGCCGUUGAUGCCGCUUUACCGCUAUCCCCUUCCUUCGAGAUUAGCAGCGCGGGGCGUCCUCGUUCUUCCUCCUUGCUGCUUCGGUGGCCCCUCUAGAAGGGCGAUACACGCAGGACAAAGGCAUCAGUGCUACGUGAGGGUGUCAUCAAACACAUCGACGUCCAUCCCAUCAGCACUGCGACUUCAGAUGUCGGUGGAAAAGAGGAGUGGAGCUCCUCAUACGGCUCGCCCGCUCAGAGAGACAGAGAGACGGUGGGGAGAGGGGGGCGCAAGAGCGGCUCUUUCCUUCCCUCUUCCGUGAUGAGCCCGUGCGUGUAAAGUUACCUCCACAUCAAGAGAGAAGGCAGAUGCGCUACGUGAACAUAUGAAGGAGGAAAAGGGCGGUGGAAGACAGCAAAAUAUAUGCGCUGGCCCGGUGAAUGAUGACAUGCGGCCCGCGACGUCUUAUGUUGCUGUUCGCGCUUGGCGGACCCCUGGUCUUCUAGCCCUCCCCUCGCUGCAUCAGCUCAUCCCUUUGUACGCCACUCGUAUUGUGUGUGUGUGUGUGUGCAGGGGAGGGGGGUUGCACAGGUAUGCAUGGAGGCUGCGCGCGCGAUGGCGCCCCUUCCCAUUGCUUCUGGUGCUCUCUCUCAUGGUGUUUUGGUAACGGCCAGUGCCUCUGCCCCCGCCACCUCCACCUCUCUUUCCAAUUUCUUUGUUUCGCCCCGCCUCCCCCGCCAACACAUACAG